rnacentral:rRNA from 1 species
GAUGAACGCUGGCGGCGUGCCUAAUACAUGCAAGUCGAGCGAACAGACGAGGAGCUUGCUCCUCUGACGUUAGCGGCGGACGGGUGAGUAACACGUGGAUAACCUACCUAUAAGACUGGGAUAACUUCGGGAAACCGGAGCUAAUACCGGAUAACAUGUUGAACCGCAUGGUUCAACAGUGAAAGACGGUCUUGCUGUCGCUUAUAGAUGGAUCCGCGCCGCAUUAGCUAGUUGGUAAGGUAACGGCUUACCAAGGCAACGAUGCGUAGCCGACCUGAGAGGGUGAUCGGCCACACUGGAACUGAGACACGGUCCAGACUCCUACGGGGGGCAGCAGUGGGGAAUAUUGCACAAUGGGCGGAAGCCUGAUGCAGCGACGCCGCGUGAGGGAUGACGGCCUUCGGGUUGUAAACCUCUUUCAGCAGGGACGAAGCGUAAGUGACGGUACCUGCAGAAGAAGCACCGGCUAACUAUGUG